GCCUACGGGACGCAGCAGUGGGGAAUAUUGGGCAAUGGGCGAAAGCCUGACCCAGCAACGCCGCGUGAAGGAAGAAGGCUUUCGGGUUGUAAACUUCUUUUGACAGGGAAGAGCAGAAGACGGUACCUGUCGAAUAAGCCACGGCUAACUACGUGCCAGCAGCCGCGGUAAUACGUAGGUGGCGAGCGUUAUCCGGAAUGAUUGGGCGUAAAGGGUGCGUAGGCGGCCUGCUAAGUCUGGAGUGAAAGGUACCGGCUCAACCGGUACAGGCUCUGGAAACUGGCGGGCUAGAGAGCAGGAGGGGG
rnacentral:rRNA from 1 species